GGAGGGGGGAGCGGCGGGAGGAGGAGGGAGCGGUGUAAAUGGUGGGCGAGUGAGCGAGGGGGAGAUGAUUCACACCGCCUCCGAGCCCCUCCGGCCCCUGCCUGCCCUAACGCUGCGGCGCGGCCGCCCGCUGCUCCCGCGCCCUCAUGCUCUCCUCGGCUGACGGGCUGGGCACGGGGCUGAAGUGGGGGGGCUCCGUGUCCACCCACCACCACCGCCGGACGCUCCGGCAGCUGGCGGGCUCGGCUGAGCAGGGUCCGGCCUCGAGCAGGGGCCCACCGACCUUGGCUACACCGCAGAAGCCCCUGAGGCAGGAGAGGCUGAAAAUCUGGCUGGCUGUGGAUGAAAUCCAACUUCCAUUCUGAGCUCCCUGGGAAACCCAGCCCUAGUGUUAGUAAUCACUUACCACUAAUGCAGCCCAAAACAAUUUUUAGAGCUUAAAAUACAGAUUUCAUACAUAAUACAUAGUACAGCACAUCGUCUUGCGAGUACUUAUAAAUUAUGAGCCAGAUAUCUAAUAUACUAUUGGGUAUUAAAGCAUGGAUAUUUUAGUAUCUGAACAGACUCCUGCCCAAAAGUAUUCACAAAUUAAAGACCCAAUCUAGCACUGUAAAUUGGAAACUUUCAAUAGCUUCUCUGGGAAUUGUGUCCCAGGAAUGCAGUAUCUAGCUUCACAGCUGGAUGAAACAGAUGCAGCACAUUCAGUAACAAGUUGAUAGCAUGUACAGUCAGAAAAAAUAUUGUGUAAAAAUGGUACAUUCGUAAUCAUUUUAUACCCUUUGUAUCUAAGAUAUUCUGACUCAUGGUUGCUUCAUUUACUGACUGAAAUAAAAUUUUUGGCUUCUGUUACCUUUGCGGUUGCUGAUACAAUUACGGUGCAGCAAGCUGAGGACUCUUUUGGCUCUUUCAUUUUCUUUACUAAGUUCCAGUUGAAGAAUUUUAAUUAGUAUUUGAGCCAGAAAGAAAACUGUGUGGCUUAAAAGCCUCGGGUCCAGUUUGAACGGUCAUCAGUCCCAAGCAGCCUCUUUUUAUUUGUAAACUGAGCAGACGGCUUACAGAAAAUUUAGAAGGCAAAAAUAAAAAACAUUGAUGCUCAAGUGAAGCCAUUUUUAGUCAAUUUCCGCAGUGGAACUGUAAUUUAUAACACUGGUCCCUUUAUCUAUCUGAAUGUGCCCCAUUCAUCUGUGGUAACAUUGAAUCAAACAAUUCUCUUGUUUUAAGACCACAUCUGCUUUACUGUGUCCCCUGCACCAAUUUUAAUUAUGUGGCAGAUCUGAUUGGAUUCAGCACCUGCAAGUAUUCCCUUUGGGAAUUCCAAUUAGCUUAUAAAACAUUUACUUGAUUGCAUUCUUUAAAUAAAAGUAUUGUUUCAUCCUAACAAUUAACACGUAGAAUGAAAAAGGGUUUUAACGUGAUAAGCAGCGUGUGUUUUUUGUGUAUAUGUCUUCCAUAAGCUUAGAGGAAAAUGGUAAUCCUGAAACCUAAUUUCUCCAGGCUCAGCAGAUGUCUGUCCUGUGUUAGUCUGUUUCUUCAUGAACAGCUGUCUCACAAGUGCCUUCCCUUGUCUCUACAGAAUGUCUUUUGUUUAAUAAUUUCUUUAUAUGUUAUCUCCUGGUCCCACUAAGACAAGCUUUUAAAAAAUCUUUUUUGGUACCUGUAAGUAGUCUCUUUAUAGUUGAAUAGGUUUUGAAGAAUUUAGCUAAAGCUAUAGAACUAGCCUCUCAGCUAUUUUCUUAGUAGGAUUUCUACUCAACUAAGCGAAUGGCUGCAUAUAAUUGACAUUUUAAGUUAAUAAUUAACAGUUGCAACAACAAUUUAAUAUGAGCAAAAUUGUUAGCUAUUACAGAUAUGCUUCAGAAUAUGCUUCUGAAAGCACCGUCUGUCAAAGCCGGUAACCUGUCUAGGGCCGGGAUCUUGAGGUCUCGGAGCUUAUGGCAGAAAGUGCAGCCCUCUAGCGGCAGAGGUCAGUGGUAGUUUUUGCAAGCUGUGAUUUUAUCACGGGUGAGGCAUAAUGAAAUAGUUUUUAGCCAAAAUAAAUAAAUAAAUAAAUAAAUGCAAACUACCCAGGACACUGCCUUGUGGUGCUGUCAGCCUCCUGUAUUUUUCAUGGUCUGAAGCACCUAUAGAAAUAGUGGAGGCCUGUUGUACAGCUUUGUUUCCACUCUGCCAUUAUUUCUGUGGAAGAAGGACCAAUGGAAAAAAUUUAGAAUGUCUGUUAUCAGCAGAAUUUCCCUUUUUUUUUCUCUAAUCUGCUUCCCUGCCAGUCUUUUCUAGCCAGUUCCAGACUGGCAUAUCUACCCAGUUGUUUUCAAGCUGUUCCUUUUCCUGUUUCUUUCAGUUAUCUCCUACCAGUAACUUCAGAAAGAAUUAGUUCAGUGAUAGUAUGAAAUACAAGUUCAGUUUGCCAGCCUUAUUUCUAAGAACACUCUUGUCUGUGAGAGGUGUGAAUGGUCUCUCUCACAGGCAUGAGAGCUGUCUUUAUAAAUGACAGGGAUUAGGAAGAGGCAUAAACCAAAGUAAUGAAAUACAUAUGUUAACACAUGGAAGUCCACAGAGUAACUUUACAUCAAUUACAGAAUCACAGAAUCACAGAAUGGCCAGGGCUGGAAGGGACCUUAAGGAUCAUGAAUCUCCAACCCUCCUGCAACAUGCAAAGCCACCAAUCUCCCCCUCCCCAUUUAAUACUAGACCAGGCUGCCCAGGGCCCCAUCCAAUCUGGCCUUGAACACCUCCAGGGAUGGAGCAUCCACAACCUUCCUGGGCAGCUUGUUCCAGUACCUCACCACUCUCUCUGUAAAGAACUUCCCCCUAAUAUCCAACCUAAAUCUCUCCUCCCUCAACUUAAAACCAUUUCCCUUGUCCUGCAGUUAUCAACCCUUUCAAAGAGUUGAUUCCCCUCCUGUUUGUAGGCUCCCUUUAGGUAUUGAAAUGCUGCAAUAAGGUCACUCCGCAGCCUUCUUUUCUCCAGGCUGAACAAGCUCAGCUCCCUCAGCCUGUCUUCAUAGGGGAGGUGCUCCAGACGCCUGAUCAUCUUCGUGGCCUCCUCUGGACUCUCCAACAGCUCCCUGUCUUUUUGUACUGGGGGCUCCACACUUGGAUUACCUCAUUAAACACCUCCUAACCUGAUUAGGUUCACUGAGCAUCAAAAUAUAUGAAUCAAAUAUCAAAAACAGGAGGCCUGUUUCAUGUUUCAGCGGUUCAGUGACUACCUUUGGAACCAAACUCAAUUCUGUUUCUGGUAGAGGUGAUGGAUACCUCUUCUAGUUAAUAGAAUUAAUGGCUUGGUUUUCCUCUUAUAGGAAAUACGACAGAGCCCAGUAAUCUUUGGAUGAAAAAUGAUAUCUCUUAAACAUCCAGAGUAGGUAAAAGAAAACAAGUUCUGUUUUUAUUCACAAUAAAACUGGUAUUACCGGGAGUUCUUCAUUAUCAAACAAUUGCUCUGGCAAUUGAUGUCUGGCAAACCUUUGCUCCACUAAAACUGCAGUUACUUGAAAACUGAACUUACAACUUAUUCUUUCAAGCCUUUAGCAUCUGCCUCUGUUUAUGAUUUUUUUUUUUUUUCUGCAGUAGUCUACCAGUUAAACUAUAGUCGUUCUUGAUUAAACUAUCUAAGUGUUCUUUGAAUACUUCAUGAAUUGUUCGUCAGUAAAUAUUUUUAAAUCUCAUUGGAACUUCUAAAUUGCAUCAGCAUUAAUCUUAAGAAAAUCAUACCCAGAUUUAAGGAAGGAAGCUGAACAUCCCAUUUAGAAAGAGAGAAGCCUGAUUAUCCAUUUUCCAGUAUUUAUAUCUCCUGUAUUUUUCACACAUGUAUUGGAUGCACAGUAUGGGCAACAGUUAAAUCCUUUCAUAUUGUAGAUGGUUACUGUGUGGUAGCUUUCUUUGCUUGCUUUCUCUGUGGAUGGUGACUUCACAGUGGUAAUAAUUUGACCAUACCAUUUAUCAUAAUAUGAGUAUAUUAACCAAAAUUCUCUGCUUAGAAGUGGAAGGAGAGAGUGAGUAUAGAAAAUCAAUGGUCAUUUCUGCUGUCUUAGCAAAGGGAUCUCAUGCUUCCUCCUACUCCACAGUGUUCAUCAAAAUUCUUCAUUCCUACAGUUGUAGAUCUGUUUUAUAAACUAUUCCUGUGUUUCUUCUAUUUUGAGGUUACCUAAUAACAUACCCUGAUGUCAGUAUGAAAAAUAAGGUAACCUCGGAACAAGAUAAUUUUUUGUCUCCUACAAGGAAUUGACUAGGACAAUGGUACAAUCCAUAAAACUCCAAUGGCUAGAGAAUUUUUCCAAAAAGUCAUCUCCAUAGUGACUUUGCUGUAUAGUAAGACUUUCUAUUUCUUAGAAUGAAAGAAACUGAAGACUCAAUAUCAGCUGUUUUUCAAGAGUUGUAUUCUUCUUUCCUGUUUUCUCAUUUAUUUUUUAAAUACUGAAAUAAAUAAAUCAGAGAUUAAAACAGACACAAGACAGGAGUGAUUCAGUCGUAAUGAAAUAAUGUUGUAACCUAGUAGGUGAGAAAUAAAGGAAGUUUAUGUUAGUUUACGGUGGUGCUGACUGCAUACAUGUUAGCAUUGUAUUACAAAAGAAUGUCAGAAGAACUAGCUAUCACUCCAGAUUCUUAAAGAUGUACUCAUCUAAGUGCUGCAUGGUGAAUAGGGUACUGUUAAGGGAAUCAGUAUGCCUGUUUUUAAUCUCUGCUGUUAGAACUGAUAUUGCUAUAUUACUAUUUUAUGCCUCAUUUUGCCCACAUUCCACUGUCUUACUUAUUUGAAAUUUUGACAUUUUAGGGUAAAGGAAAGAUGAAAAAGAAAGUGAAUGGAGAAGUCAGUUUCUUGGAUCUUGUUGUGAAGCCUGGUCCACUGCAAUACUAUACCAUUUCCUGUGAAUUGAAAGACGUGAAAUAAUGUAGUAACGUAGUUGUAAGGGCAUCUCUACUGAAGCUAUAUCAUGUUCUCAAAGAUAGUGAUGAAGUCUUAGUUGUUCACAUAAAUUAAAACUAGUGAAAAAGGUCAUAACUUCAAAUAUAGUCUAAUGACACAGGACCUUUUUUUGAAACCUUGAAUUUUGCUGUAGUCCUGUUGACAAUGAGAGUUAUUUUAGCAAAUGAAAAGAAUGGAAAGGGAGGAAGUAAACAUUCCACAGGAGACAAAGGAGAAACAAGAAAGAUGUGAUGGAAACAAAGUUACUGAUUUUUCUGUUGUAACCGUGAUUAGCAAAAUUUUAGUUGUGUACAUCGUUUUGCUCAAUUCAAAAAUAAAUACUAUUUCAGACCACUAAAAGUAUGUACUAAUAAAAUUAUACUAGCAAACUCUUCUGUGUUACCAACCAACAGAAAUACAUUUUUAUCAGUAUAAUUUGUAAUCAACUCUCCAAAUCAUAAGCUAUUCUGCCAAAGAAAUCUUUUCUGUGAGUAGAAUAUUAGCAUAGCAGAAGGAUUUUUGCCAGUGGAAAAGUAACUAAAGUCACAUCUGUAAAAUCAUUGCAAUAGCAAAAGUUCCUAAUAAAGAUUUGGACAUUUUUUAAUAAUAUUUUAAAAGACUUAGUGUAUAAAAAAGCAUAUACCAGUUCACUAAAAAUUAAUUUUCAGCACAGAGAGAUUUUAGGCAGUUGUUAUUACCUUCAAGAAUACAAGGUUAUGCUGGGAACUUCAGCUGAUUCUUCCCUGUGGGUUAGCAAAUGCCUUAGAGUUUGCUCUUAAGAAAUUAUUUUGCUACAACAAUGUAAGUUGAUUAUUCCAAUGCUUUAUAGCUCGGUCUACUUGAAAAUAAUUAUUUCAAAAUAACCAUGGAUUGGAAAUUCUAGUAGAGGAAAGAUAUAAAACUUAGUGUUAGGAUAAAGUGGCCAGAGUAAUUUCAUGCAUAUCUUCCUGUUUGUCAUACAAGCAUACAUCUGUGUGUCAGGGGCACACAAAGGCUAUCUGGUCUAAGUAAAAUGUAGGGAGUAGACAUAAUGCUACCUAUUUGAGACAAAGUGCAGUAAGGUUAGAACAGAUAGUAGUACAAACCUAUCUAAGUUACCA